GCUCCAGGAAGGUUGUUCUCGGCAAUGUGAACCAAAUAGAAAGGCUGUUGGAAAACUGGUGCAUUGUCGUUGACAUCAAUUAUGUUCAAGUGUGCAGUGUGUCGUCCACCAUCCUUUGCUUCCACCCCAAUUGUGUAGCUCUCUCUCUCUUCAAAGUCCAGUUCUCCACCAGUGGCAGACUCUCUGACAGAUAUCUCGGCGGCAGAGAACCAGAGAGUGAGUGUCCAGUUACCGCGGUUCCGCCUUGGGGAGGCG